UACGGGGGGGGCAAGCGUUGUUCGGAAUUACUGGGCGUAAAGGGCUCGUAGGCGGCCAACUAAGUCAGACGUGAAAUCCCCAGGCUCAACCUGGGAACUGCGUCUGAUACUGGAUGGCUUGAAUCCGGGAGAGGGAUGCAGAAUUCCAGGUGUAGCGGUGAAAUGCGUAGAUAUCAGGAGGAACACCGAUUGCGAAGGCAGCUCGCUGGGACGUCACUGACGCUGAGACGCGAAAGCGUGGGGAGCAAACAGG
rnacentral:rRNA from 1 species